rnacentral:rRNA from 1 species
UACAGAGGGGGCAAGCGUUGUUCGGAAUUACUGGGCGUAAAGCGCACGUAGGCGGCUUUCUAAGUCGGGGGUGAAAUCCUGGAGCUCAACUCCAGAACUGCCUUCGAUACUGGAGAGCUCGAGUCCGGGAGAGGUGAGUGGAACUGCGAGUGUAGAGGUGAAAUUCGUAGAUAUUCGCAAGAACACCAGUGGCGAAGGCGGCUCACUGGCCCGGUACUGACGCUGAGGUGCGAAAGCGUGGGGAGCAAACAGGG